GGUGAACGCUGGCGGCGUGCUUAAGACAUGCAAGUCGAACGCAGUCUUCGGACUGAGUGGCGCACGGGUGAGUACCACGUAACUGACCUACCCCCAAGUCGCGGAUAACUGGCCGAAAGGUCAGCUAAUACGUGAUGUGAUGUCCCCUUUCUGGGGGGCCAUUAAAGGUUUACUGCUUGGGGAUGGGGUUGCGUUCCAUCAGCUAGUUGGCGGGGUAAAGGCCCACCAAGGCAACGACGGAUAGCCGGCCCGAGAGGGUGGCCGGCCACAGGGGCACUGAGACACGGGUCCCACUCCUACGGGAGGCAGCAGUUAGGAAUCUUCCACAAUGGGCGAAAGCCUGAUGGAGCGACGCCGCGUGAGGGAUGAAGGUUCUCGGAUCGUAAACCUCUGAAUCAGGGACGAAAGACGCGUAAGCGGGGUGACGGUACCUGAGUAAUAGCACCGGCUAACUCCGUGCCAGCAGCCGCCGUAA
rnacentral:rRNA from 1 species